GUGAUUCGGGGCGCAGCAGGCGCGAAACCUUUGCAAUGUGCGAAAGCACGACAAGGUUAAUCCGAGUGUCUCCCGCUAAGGGAGUCUUUUGUCAGUUCUAGAACCACUGGUGAAUAAGGGGUGGGCAAGUUCUGGUGUCAGCCGCCGCGGUAAAACCAGCACCUCGAGUGGUCAGGAGGUUUAUUGGGCCUAAAGCAUCCGUAGCCGGUUGCAUAAGUUUUCGGUUAAAUCUAUGCGCUUAACGUAUAGGCCGCCGAAAAUACUGUGCAGCUAGGGAGUGGGAGAGGUACACGGUACUCGAUAGGAAGGGGUAAAAUCCUUUGAUCUAUUGAUGACCACCUGUGGCGAAGGCGGUGUACCAGAACACGUUCGACGGUGAGGGAUGAAAGCUGGGGGAGCAAACCGGAUUAGAUACCCGGGUAGUCCCAGCUGUAAACGAUGCAGACUCGGUGAUGCAUUGGCUUGUGGCCAAUGCAGUGCCGCAGGGAAGCCGUUAAGUCUGCCGCCUGGGAAGUACGUACGCAAGUAUGAAACUUAAAGGAAUUGGCGGGGGAGCACAAUCGAAU
rnacentral:rRNA from 1 species